GACGUAGGGUGCAAGCGUUGUCCGGAUUUACUGGGCGUAAAGGACGCGUAGGCGGUUCGUUAAGUGUGAAGUGAAAUCUCCAGGGCUCAACCCGGAAACUGCUUCGCAUACUGGCGGACUGGAGGGAUGCAGAGGUAAGUAGAAUUCCUGGUGUAGCGGUGAAAUGCGUUGAUAUCAGGAGGAAUACCGAUGGCGAAGGCAGCUUACUGGGCAUCAUCUGACGCUGAGGCGUGAAAGCGUGGGUA
rnacentral:rRNA from 1 species